UUAUUCACAGGCAAAUUGUUAUAUGCUAUGGAGGUACAUUUGUGUAUUUUUGUCUAAAUCAAAAAGAAUUGUUCUGACAGCUAUUUUUUCCUCGACAGAAAAGGAAGUCAAAGCGGACACCUACGAAGAUGGCAUCUCAGAGAGCAAGCUGUCCAAGGGGGUCGAAAAUGUAGAUAUUGCCAGAUGUUCACUGUGAGGAUCAGGCCGUGGAAGAUGUAUUGCUGGCAAAAAGUGUCCCUAACCAGAGGUUAUGUCAGCUGUUUUGUUGAACCUCUCCUGCAUCUGAACUGGCUGACAGAGGGCACAGCCUGAUCAUAGGUAUGUUUUGAUGUGAGAGGAAUCCAGUCCCGACAGCGCAAUUGUGAUGAACUGAGAGAAUAUUAGGGUAGCACUGUCAUUCAUGAAUCAUGUGCUAUCUGCCGCUGUUCUUACCUCUCGCCCCACUUCGUCUUCUAAUGCACACCAUAUGUGCAUUGAAGUACAGAUUUGCCUACCUUUAAAUAAUGUUUUUAACUAGGCAAGUCAGAUAAGAAUGACGGCCUAGGAACUGCCUUGUUCAGGGGCAGAAGGACAUAUUUUUACCUUGUCGGCUCGGGGACUCGAUCUUGCAACCUUCCGGUUACUAGUCCACCUGCCCGCCCAAGAUUGAACUUGUAUUUAUAAUAUUACAAUUAAAAUGCACUUCUUUCAAUAAAGCGUUUCACAUUCUCCACUGGUUGAAAUACUA